rnacentral:rRNA from 1 species
CCUACGGUAGGCAGCAGUGAGGAAUAUUGGUCAAUGGGCGCGAGCCUGAACCAGCCAAGUCGCGUGAGGGAGGACGGCCCUACGGGUUGUAAACCUCUUUUGCCGGGGAGCAACGGGCGUCACGUGUGGUGCCACUGAGAGUACCCGGAGAAAAAGCCUCGGCUAACUCCGUGCCAGCAGCCGCGGUAAUACGGGGGAUGCGAGCGUUAUCCGGAUUUAUUGGGUUUAAAGGGUGCGUAGGCGGAGCGUUAAGUCAGUGGUAAAAUUGAGGGGCUCAACCCCUUCCCGCCCGUGAAACUGGCGUUCUUGAGUGGAAGAGAAGUAUGCGGAAUGCGUGGUGUAGCGGUGAAAUGCAGAGAUAUCACGCAGAACUCCGAUUGCGAAGGCAGCAUACCGGCGCUCAACUGACGCUCAUGCACGAAAGUGUGGGUAUCGAACAGGAUUAGAUACCCUGGUAGUC